rnacentral:tRNA from 1 species
GUGGUGGCUCAGUGGCAAAGUGCUUACCUAGCAUGUGUGAGGUACUGGGUUCGAUCCUAAGCAUCACA